rnacentral:rRNA from 1 species
GAUGAACGCUAGCGGGAGGCUUAACACAUGCAAGCCGAGGGAGAAGUUGUUUUCGGACAACGGACACCGGCGGACGGGUGAGUAACAUGUAUGCAACUUGCCUCUAUCAGUGGUAUAACCCGGGUAAACCCGGACUAAUACCGCAUAACAAAUGUAUCAGCAUUGAUUUAUUUUAAAAGAUUUAUCGGAUAGAUAUAGGCAUGCGUAGGAUUAGUUAGUUGGUGAGGUAACGGCUAACCAAGACGAUGAUCCUUAGGGGGCCUGAGAGGGUGAUCCCCCACACUGGUACUGAGACACGGACCAGAAUACUACGGGAGGCAGCAGUGAGGAAUAUUGGACAAUGGGUGAGAGCAUGAUCCAGCCAACCCGCGUGCAGGAAGACGGCCCUAUGGGUUGUAAACUGCUUUUAUACGGGAAUAAACCUACUCACGUGUGAGUAGUCGAAGGUACUGUAAGAAUAAGCAUCGGCUAACUCCGUG